rnacentral:rRNA from 1 species
UAUCCACUAAUUUUGGGGGGGAUGGCUAGUUUCUUGUGACGGCGCGUAUGCGAAAAUAUUAUACCGAGAAAGACAAAGAUUACCUGGGGAACUGAAACAUCUAAGUACCUAGCGAAAAAUAAAUUAGACUCCGUAAGUAGUGGCGAGCGAACGCGGAAACUACAAGACGGAUUUGGAACGUCCGGCCAAAGAAGGUGAAAGCCCUGCAAAUAAACUGUAUUAAGUAAGACCGUGGGUCUGAAUAAGGGGACACCGCUCUCCUAACAAUUAAACACAAGAAUACGAUAGUGUACUAGUACUGUAAAGGAAAGCUGAAAGACAACUCAUGAUCUGGGAGUUAAAAGAUGCUGAAACCCCAAAAUGUUUCAGCCAUAUUGGCGUACCUUUUGUAUAAUGGGCUAACAACUUAAUGUGUGUAGCAAGCGUAAUGCAAAGGACGCGUAGCGAAAGCGAGUUUUAAUUGAGCGAAAAGUUACAUGCGUUAGACCCGAAACCGAGUGAUCUAGUCGUGGGCAGGUUAAAGGGUUGACUGAAGGACCGAACCCUAGGAUGUGGCAAAAUCCAGGGAUGACCCGCGGCUAGGGGUGAAAGGCCAAUCAAACUCGGAGAUAGCUGGUUUUCUGCGAAAUCUAUUUAAGUAGAGCGUUAUCAAUAAAAUGGGGGUAGGGCUCUGGACUCUUGAUGGGGGCGCAAGCUUUACUGACAGUGUUUAAACCUUGAAUACCAUGAUAGCAGACAGGCUGCGGGUGAUAAGAUCCGUAGCCAAGAGGGAUACAGCCCAGACUGUAGGAUAAGGUUCUUAACGAUAACUAAGAUAAAGGCAGCUACUGCUUAGACAACCCUAAUGGUGGGCUUAGAAGCAGCCAUCCAUUAAAGAGGUCGUUAAAGAUCAUGGGACUAGCUACUAGUUGCCGAAAAUUUUGAAGUAGAGUUUUCGUCCGAAGCCACAGUGUUUAAGGUAGCAGAAUGCUCGUAAAGGACCAUAUAAAAACCACAAUUGUGUGUGUUUAUUGUAAUCGGUUUGAAAAAAUCGGUGAACUUUUGCGAGGUAACAAUGUUAGCAUGAGUAACUAAAAAUAUUGUGCGAACCAAUAUCACCGAAAGCCCGAGGUUUUCCCCAAAAGGACAAUCCUAGGGGUGUGAAACGGUUCCUAAGAGUAGAUUCGAAAGAAUCUUCUCGAUGGCAUACUUGAUCCGACAGCGGUGAGAGUUUGAAAAUUAAAAUUACCGUACCAAACCAAUGCAGGUGGGCGGGUUGGGUAUACUCAGGUGAUCGAGGCAACGGCGUUUAAGGAACUCGGCAAAUUGACUCUGUAACUUUGGGAGGAGGAGUGCUCUUUUUUUAGAGUGUAAUAAACAAGGGGGGAGCGACUGUUUACUAAAAACACAGGACUCUGCGAAAUAGCAAUAUGACGUAUAGGGUCUGACGCCUGCCCGGUGCCAUUGAGCAAAAGCAAGGUGUGUAAGCACCAAGUAUAAGCUUCGGUAAACGGCGGCUGUAACUCUGACGGUCCUAAGGUAGCGAAAUUCCUUGGCGGGUAAGUUCCGUCCUGCAUGAAUGGCGUAACGACUCCCCUACUGUCUCAAGCGCCGGCUCGGUGAAAUUGAAUUGCCCGUGAAGAUGCGGGCAUGUCGUGGCUAGACGGAAAGACCCUGUGCACCUUUACUAUAACCUUGCGUUGCUCUAGGCUUGUGAUUGCUCAGAAAAGGCGGGAGUUUGUGACAACAACUAAACACUAGUGAGAUACCGCCCUUUUGCAUGUCUAGGGUUUUUUGUAAGGCUGGUAGUUUGGCUGGGGUGGCCGCCUCCUAAAGAGUAACGGGGGUGCGCAAUGGUGAGCUCAACCCGACUUUCGGGGUGAGAGCGUAAUGGUAUAAGCUCGCCUGACUGAAAGAUAUACAAAUCGAUCAGGAACGCAAGUUGGUCAUAGUGACCCGACGGUGCUGUGCGGAAAGGCCGUCGAUCAACGGAUAAAAGGUACGCCAGGGAUAACAGGCUAAUAACCCCUAAGAGACCAAAUCGCCGGGGUUGUUUGGCACCUCGAUGUCGGCUCAUCACAUCCUGGAGCUGUAGGCGGUUCCAAGGGUUCGGCUGUUCGCCGAUUAAAGUGGUACGUGAGCUGGGUUUAGAACGUUGUGAAACAGUUCGGUCCCUAUCUACCACGACAAGGAUUGCGGGUGGCCACCCUAGUACGGGAGGAUCGGGUGGCACUGGCCAAUGGUGACCAGUUGUUUUUCCAUGUAAAAUAAGCAUCGCUGGAUAGCUACGCCAGGAGGUAUAACUGCUGAAUGCAUAUAAAGCGGGAAGACCGCCCCAAAAUAUCUUAUAAAAGUAGAACAUGACUACAUAGGCGAGAUUGUUUUAGGCUGUAAGGUCGUGCAAUCCGUACUAAUUGCAUUAAGGAUACAACAUUCUGUUCAAGUUUGACGGGAUA